rnacentral:rRNA from 1 species
AUUGAACGCUGGCGGCAGGCUUAACACAUGCAAGUCGAGCGAGCGGGGGACGGGUGAGUAAUAUCUGGGAAACUGUCUGAUGGAGGGGGAUAACUACGGGAAAGGGUAGAUAAUACCGCAUACUAUCAGAUGUGCCGAGGUGGGAUUAGCUAGUAGGUGGGGUAGUGGCUCACCUAGGCGACGAUCCCUAGCUGGUCUGAGAGGAUGACCAGCCCCACUGGAACUGAGACACGGUCCAGACUCCUACGGGAGGCAGCAGUGGGGAAUAUUGCACCAUGGGCGCAAGCCUGAUGCAGCCAUGCCGCGUGUGUGAAGAAGGCCUUCGGGUUGUAAAGCACUUUCAGCGAGGAGGCGUUACUCGCAGAAGAAGCACCGGCUAACUCCGUGCCAGCAGCCGCGGUAAUUC